rnacentral:tRNA from 1 species
AGCGGGUUUGUGUAAUGGUAGCACGCCGGACUCUGACUCCGUCUGUGAGGGUUCGAAUCCUUCACCCGCUG